UACGGAGGGUGCAAGCGUUAUCCGGAUUCACUGGGUUUAAAGGGUGCGUAGGUGGGUCUGUAAGUCCGUGGUGAAAUCUCCAAGCUUAACUUGGAAACUGCCAUGGAUACUAUAGGUCUUGAAUACCGUGGAGGUGAGCGGAAUAUGUCAUGUAGCGGUGAAAUGCUUAGAUAUGACAUAGAACACCAAUUGCGAAGGCAGCCCACUACACGAAUAUUGACACUGAGGCACGAAAGCGUGGGGAGCAAACAGG
rnacentral:rRNA from 1 species